UACGUAGGGUGCGAGCGUUAAUCGGAAUUACUGGGCGUAAAGCGUGCGCAGGCGGUUUUGUAAGCCAGAUGUGAAAUCCCCGGGCUUAACCUGGGAAUGGCAUUUGGGACUGCAAGGCUGGAGUGUGGCAGAGGAGACUGGAAUUCCUGGUGUAGCAGUGAAAUGCGUAGAUAUCAGGAGGAAUACCGAUGGCGAAGGCAGGUCUCUGGGCAGACACUGACGCUCAUGCACGAAAGCGUGGGGAGCAAACAGG
rnacentral:rRNA from 1 species